rnacentral:lncRNA from 9 species
GGGAGCGGCGGAAGCGCAGGCCCGAUCCCGCCGCCGCUCACCCAGGUUCUGCCCACGUAGCACUGCAUACGGCCUGCUCCGUUCCGGCGGUUCCACCGGGCUCGGGGCCUCCGCCUGCCCUAGCAGGAGGCUGCACAAUCCGAGAUUGAGCCACCACCCUACGGGACGAAGCAUCUUCUCCAGCCCACAGUGAAGGAGAACCCACUUCCGCCGGAAGCCCUCCUUUGUCAGCCUCUCACCACCUUCCGUCGCGCUGGGCUCGCGUCGUUGCCAGGAUUGGAGAAGAUGCAAGAAAUUGGGCUCAUUCCAUCCCCUGAAAAGUACCUAACUACCUGAAGGCCUGUUCUGCUAAUUUUCCCCAGAGCACAGAGUUCCUCAUCCCUGAUCUCUGCCUUGAACUCCUUUCAGGGUGUGUUGAAGGUGGCUUCAAGAACCAGUGAAAAGGGUAUAUGUUUAAGAAUCACUCACUGGCUGAGGAAAAGUCUUGAAGAAAAAGGAGGUGGAGUUUUCCUGCUGUUUUAGUCUUGAAAGUCACUCUACUUCCAGUUUCCUGCUGGGGAUGAGGAUUGGAGGCAUGAGGCAAUGACUGAUUUUCCAGCUCCCCCUGGGAGCCUGCUGGAGGAGCUUCCCAGGAAUGGGGCAGAGGAAGAGUUUCCACCUAACGCCGAGGUGGCCUCAAGAGUAAGUGAAAAUGAUUGGAUCGUUGACCAAAGAUAUGAUUCCAGCAGCAAAGAUGAAGACUCUCCAUGUAGGGAACCACACGCAGGUAGGAUCCUGGGAGCCGUUGGGUUAUACCCGCCACUUUGGAGACUGAGGAGGGAGGGUGUGAAAACAGAGAGGAAAAGGAAAUGUGUGUUCUUUUCCUGUUUGCAUAAAAUAAGAAUAAGAGCUAACUGGAGUUUCUGUUGUGGCUCAGCUGAUUAAGAACCAGACAUAGUGUCUGUGAGGAUGUGGGUUCCAUCCCUGGCCUCACUCAGUAGGUUAAGGAUCUGCUGUUGCCGCAAGUUGCAGAUGUGGCUCAGAUCUGGUGUGGCUGUGGCUGUGGCUGUUGCUGGCAGCUGUAGCUCUGAUUCGACCCCUAGCCUGGGAACUUCCAUAUCUGCUGGUGUGGCCGUAGGGGGGCGGGGGGGAGAAGGAGCUAUCAUGGCUCUUGCUUUGGAGCCUUUGGGGGUA